GAUCUCAUUCAGAUGAAGGUAUCUGGACACAGGACCACGGAUAUCUAGAAAUGUGUAACUUAGUUGAAAUAAUUUACCCUUAGAGAGGGGACAAGAGAUAGGAAAUGGAAGUCAUUCCUACUUCUCAGCAAAGAGAAAGAAAGCUCUUAGCUAUUCUCAGAAUUAUCUUUCAACUCAAAGACAUCUCUUCAGAGCUUUGCCAAUCUGUGUUGUCUCAUCCAGUUGAGUUCCCUUAUAGUACAGCUGCCAAACAUAAUGACAUUUAAAUGACAGAUACACUGAAAAUAAUGAUCCUUCAAAGGGGCUGGAGA